rnacentral:lncRNA from 1 species
UUCCUGUUUAAUUGUAACUAUGUGCACUUGCUAACUUCAAUUUAUUAUCUAAUCUUAAAAACAUUAUUAAUUGAUGCCAAGUUUUGUUUGAAAGGAAAAACCUCUACGGAAGUCGCCUUUUUCGUGAUCGAUCCAUUUUCGUUAUCCGAAUCCGCUCUUCGGCCUUAUAGAAGCCAGACAUUCGAAUAAAACAGUUUCAAAAUAAAUUAAGCCCCGAUGAAAUAAAUCUUGUACGUCUUUUGUAGGGUGGAGAUAACGUUCUUACAAAAACAUACCAUCAAUUUAGCUCUUCUGGCAAGAAGAUCAGACGGAAACCAUACAAGUAGUUUAUAUAACGUUGUCAAUUUCACCGAAGCCUUUUCAUUCGGAACAAAAUUGAUGAGUCGCGUUGCUACUAUUAUUAUCAGAUUUACUUAAACAGCCAGAAAGACAAAUUAAGAAC